rfam:Yersinia ruckeri strain 37551 YRO1b0000003, whole genome shotgun sequence.
GAGGUUAAUGACAAAGUGCUCGCUGCAGUGAAAACAGGUGGAUCGUCAAGACACCGUGAAUACGUCCUUGUCAGCUCCUUCCACGCUAUCCCUGGCGCGGGCGUUUG